CUCUCAUGGAGUGGAAGAGAAAGUAAGUGAGACGAAGACGAUGAGUUCGAUUCGAUAUCAAUGUAUCUCCAUAGGAUUUCUCAGAAACACCUCCAAAACCUUAUUUUUCCAAUUUAUGAGAACUCAAUUUAUACCAGAAUUUGUUAAACCCUAGCUCCGUACGUUCCCAAUUCGCUUCAAAACCCUAAUACGCAGUAAUUUUUUUUUUUUUUAUUUUUCCUUUUUGCAAAAUCAUGUGCUAAAAUUUCCGUAAUCCCAGCUGCAAGAUUGAUUCUCGUUUCAGUAUUUUUCUUUCAGAGUAAAAAAUUUCGGAUUUUUGUGGCGAUUUUUCAUGCAUGGCUUCGGGGUCAAUGCUUGGUGAUGAUGCUAAAGAGAAGCACAGGUCGGCACAAAGCAACAAGAAGUUCCAUAGCCGAAAGAACCAGAAGCCCAAGAACCCUAACCUCCUCUCCCGACGAUCCUCGCAAACUCUAGUCGCUCCCAUCACCGACAAUAAUGAUUCAUCGCCGCCCCACCACUUUUUGCGUGUCGACGAUGCGGCGGGGUCAAACGACUUGUCGUACCACGACCACCCUCUACCUCGCGGCUCCGAACAGGCCAAUGAGAACGGAUUUCCUGGGUACAUGGAGUUCGAAAACCGGGUUAGAAUAAGCUUGGAUUCGAGGUCGAAAAUGGAUAUCAGAGAGCUGAGGAGGAAGCUUUUGAGUGAGCUUGAUCAAGUGAGAUGCUUGGUGAAGAAACUUGAGUCUAAGGAGUUUCAGCUCAGUGGGUAUAGCCAUUCUCAAUUCUCGGCUAACUAUGCGGUAGACAAUAUGGGAAGCACAGAGAGGCUGAAUUCCGGGGUGGGUUUGAAAGGACCGCGUGAUUCGAGACUGUUUCGGGGUUUAAGUGAUUCAGUAGCAGAGAACAAUCAUGGGGUUGUUGGUGAAGUUGGUGGGAAGAAGAAGAAGAAGAAGUUGCCAACUCCUGAGAGUGACAAGAAAAUGAAAACCGGUGGAGGGAAAAAAGAUGAGCUUCGAGGGAGAUUUUUGCCAGGGAAAGAUAAGUAUUCGAGCCAAUUGUUUAAUAGUUGUAGUGAUUUACUAGGCAAAUUGAUGAAACAUAAAUUUGGUUGGAUUUUUAAUGUCCCUGUAGAUGUGAAAGGCCUUGGACUUCAUGAUUACCAUACAAUUGUUAAACAUCCAAUGGAUUUAGGCACUGUGAAGACUAGGCUAAACAAGGGAUGGUAUAAAUCGCCAAUGGAGUUUGCGGAGGAUGUGAGGCUUACUUUUCAUAAUGCUAUGUUUUAUAACCCCAAAGGGCAGGAUGCUUAUUUUAUGGCAGAGCAGUUGUUGAAGAUAUUUGAACCAAAAUGGUUAGCUUUAGAAGCGGAAUAUAAUCUCAAUAAGACGUUAGAAGUGGGUAAGGCUGAUUUGCCAACACCUGCCUCAAGAAAAGUUCAGAAUCCUGCUACUGCACCUCCCCGUCUUCCUCCUCGUCCUGCUUCACCGCCGCCAAUGUCGACUCUGGAUAGGUCAGAAUCACAUACAAAGCCUGUGGAUCCCAAAUUGAAACCAGAGGGUUUUGGUCAUGUAGGCAGAACACCAGUUCCGAAGAAACCAAAAGCUAAGGAUCCUGAUAAAAGGGAUAUGACAUAUGAGGAGAAGCAGAAGCUUAGUGCUAACCUUCAGAAUUUGCCUUCUGAGAAGCUGGACAAUGUUGUUCAGAUUAUUAAGAAAAGAAAUCCACGGCUUUUUCAACAAGAGGAUGAAAUUGAGGUGGAUAUUGCCAAUGUUGAUCCGGAAACACUUUGGGAACUGGAUAGAAUCUGGCGCCAUCUGCUGCAGAGGUACAGAAAGAAGCUGAAACAGUUGAGAACAACGUUACUGAAUAUUCCCCAGUUGGAAGAGUGGAGAAAGGUGAUGAUGUGAGCAGAGCGAGUAGUUCAGGUGGCUCUGGUACUGAUGCCGGAUCCUCUUCAAGUGACUCUGACAGUGACAGUUAAGACUUAAUGUGGAUCGGAUUGGAGUACUUGCACUGAAAACUUGGCAGAUUCAGUAAGAGGAUAGGAUGUAUCUAACUCGAUGAAUGUAAUUAAUCGAUGAUGUUUUGUUAGUCAACCGACCUUUGUUGAUUUUACUCUUAAAGCUGUAGAAAGUUUCCUGAUUGAAUCACUGUAGAUGCUGAUAGUGGCUAUUGACUGCUUUUAAAACCAUGUCCAAAAGGCUUAUUUAGGCAAUGAUUAUAUGAUAUUUUUCAGAAGA